GACGAACGCUGGCGGCGUGCUUAACACAUGCAAGUCGAACGGUAAGGCCCUUCGGGGUACACGAGUGGCGAACGGGUGAGUAACACGUGGGUGAUCUGCCCUGCACUUCGGGAUAAGCCUGGGAAACUGGGUCUAAUACCGGAUAGGACUCCUGGCUUCAUGGUUGGGGGUGGAAAGCUUUUGGGGGGUGGGAUGGGCCCGCGGCCUAGCAGCUUGUUGGUGGGGUAAUGGCCUGCCAAGGCGACGACGGGUAGCCGGCCUGAGAGGGUGACCGGUCACACUGGGACUGAGAUACGGCCCAGACUCCUACGGGAGGCAGCAGUGGGGAAUAUUGCACAAUGGGCGCAAGCCUGAUGCAGCGACGCCGCGUGAGGGAUGACGGCCUUCGGGUUGUAAACCUCUUUCAGCUAUGACGAAGCGCAAGUGACGGUAGUAGCAGAAGAAGGACCGGCCAACUACGUGCCAGCAGCCGCCGUAA
rnacentral:rRNA from 1 species